rnacentral:lncRNA from 1 species
GCACUAUUACCCCUCACAGUUUCUGUCCUUCAUCUGUGGCAUAGAACACACUCUGUUCUUGAGCUUCACCAGGAACAUCUGUAGGAAGAUCUGGCACAGGCUAUGUGGAGAACCUCCUCACCCCAUGCUGAUGAUCUCAUAGUAUCUGGUCACUGCCACUAAGGAAAAAUAAAUGCCUGCAGGUCCUUUUAUACCAUGAUGUAACUAACUAUAGGAAGUGUCCCUAUGCAACAUCUUUCAUCUUACCUGAAUCAAAGCUUCAAUGAAUGAAGUUCUCUUCGGCCCAUAAUCCUGCAAGAAACUGGUAGGAUGAUGGCAUUGGGAAGCUAUAAGG